UCUGCAUGACUUCCUGAGAACUAUUUUGAGCAUGUGGUGUUAGAGAUCACGACUGCCUGGGUAGCGAUCCCCAAGUUGUCUACCAAGACUACAUAACAGCUGAUAGCACUGCCUGUGGAAUUAAAACAGAGGCCAACUUCUCAGAGGCUUUGCAUGAAGUCGUGGCGUGGAGAAGCUGAGUGCCGAGAAGGAGGCUGAGCAGGCGCUGUGCGGGUGUCUUCCGGAAGGGCUGAGGAUUGGAGGUGAG